CCUACGGGUGGCUGCAGUGGGGAAUAUUGGACAAUGGGGGGAACCCUGAUCCAGCCAUGCCGCGUGUGUGAAGAAGGCCCUCGGGUUGUAAAGCACUUUCAGUGAGGAAGAACGCCUGGUGGUUAAUACCCAUCAGGAAAGACAUCACUCACAGAAGAAGCACCGGCUAACUCCGUGCCAGCAGCCGCGGUAAUACGGAGGGUGCGAGCGUUAAUCGGAAUUACUGGGCGUAAAGCGCGCGUAGGUGGCUUGAUAAGCCGGUUGUGAAAGCCCCGGGCUCAACCUGGGAACGGCAUCCGGAACUGUCAAGCUAGAGUGCAGGAGAGGAAGGUAGAAUUCCCGGUGUAGCGGUGAAAUGCGUAGAGAUCGGGAGGAAUACCAGUGGCGAAGGCGGUCUUCUGGACUGACACUGACACUGAGGUGCGAAAGCGUGGGUAGCAAACAGGAUUAGAUACCCCGGUAGUC
rnacentral:rRNA from 1 species